GUGCCAGCCGCCGCGGUAAUACGUAGGGGGCGAGCGUUGUCCGGAGUUACUGGGCGUAAAGGGCGUGCAGGCGGUGCAGUAAGUUUGGAGUGACAGUACCCGGCUUCACUGGGUAAGGACUUUGAAAACUGCUGGACUUGAGGGCCAGAGAGGGACAUAGAAUUCCGGGUGGAGUGGUGAAAUGCGUAGAUAUCCGGAGGAAUACCAAAGGCGAAGGCAGUGUCCUGGCUGGCAUCUGACGCUGAGGCGCGAAAGCUAGGGGAGCGAACAGGAUUAGAAACCCCCGUAGUCC
rnacentral:rRNA from 1 species